CGGAGGACAAGAAACUAAACAGGAUCCCCAUAGUAAUGGCGAAUGAACCGGGAUAAACUCAGCAUGGAAAUUGGGGCCUUUGGCUUUGACUUGUAAUCUGGUGAGGCAUUGCCAACAGAGGCGCAUAUGUAAGUCUCUUGGAAAAGAGCAUCAACGAAGGUGAGAGUCCUGAUUGUCAUGUGCAGCCCCCCUGUGCACGGUGUGCCUUCUAAGAGUCACGUUCCUUGGGAUUGGAGCGCAAAUUGGGUGGUAACUUUCAUCUGAAGUUAAACAAUGGUUUGGGGCCGAUAGGAAACAAGUACCAUGAGGGAAAGGUGAAAAGGACUUUGGAAAGAGAGUUAAAAGUGCCUGAAAUUGCUGAAGGGGAAGCGAAUGGAACCAGUGGUGCUGGGUGAGAUUGUCACAUGCUGCAAGGAUUGGUUGCUGCCACAACGCAAGUGUGCUGGCAAUUUGUGAACUGCUAGUGUGUGGUGUGUCUUUGUUGUUAUGCUUGUGCGUAAGCUUUAGUGUUUGUCUGGCUGCAGGGCUGUCCAUCCUCAAGCUUUGCUGUGGUUGCGAUGAGCAUAACCUUCUGCACAGAUCUUGACGAAAUGGUUUCAUUCGAUCCCUCUUGAAACACGCACCAAGG
rnacentral:rRNA from 1 species